AUACGGAGGGAGCGAGCGUUAAUCGGAAUUACUGGGCGUAAAGCGCGCGUAGGCGGCUUUGUCAGUCGGAUGUGAAAGCCCUGGGCUCAACCUGGGAAUGGCAUUCGAUACUGCAGAGCUAGAGUAUGGUAGAGGGAAGUGGAAUUUCCGGUGUAGCGGUGAAAUGCGUAGAUAUCGGAAGGAACACCAGUGGCGAAGGCGACUUCCUGGGCCAAUACUGACGCUGAGGUGCGAAAGCGUGGGGAGCAAACAGGAUUAGAAACCCCGGUAGUCC
rnacentral:rRNA from 1 species